UUGCCACGCCCGCUCAAGAACUACGAAAGGAAUUGGACGGGGCCCGCACAAGCGGUGGAGUAUGUGGUUUAAUUCGAUGCAACGCGAAGAACCUUACCUGGUCUUGACAUCCCGGAGACCCUUAGGAAACUAGGGGGUGCCUUCCAUCUGGAAGAAUCUGGAGACAGGUGCUGCAUGGCUGUCGUCAGCUCGUGUCGUGAGAUGUUGGGUUAAGUCCCGCAACGAGCGCAACCCUUGCCUUUAGUUGCCAGCAGUUCGGCUGGGCACUCUAAAGGGACUGCCGGUGUUAAACCGGAGGAAGGUGGGGAUGACGUCAAGUCCUCAUGGCCUUUAUGACCAGGGCUACACACGUACUACAAUGGCCGAUACAAAGGGCAGCGACACUGCGAGGUGAAGCCAAUCCCGUAAAAUCGGUCUCAGUCCGGAUUGGAGUCUGCAACUCGACUCCAUGAAGUUGGAAUCGCUAGUAAUCGUGGAUCAGCAUGCCACGGUGAAUACGUUCCCGGGCCUU
rnacentral:rRNA from 1 species